rnacentral:rRNA from 1 species
UACAGAGGUCCCAAGCGUUGCUCGGAAUUAUUGGGCGUAAAGCGCACGUAGGUGGUCGCUUAAGUCGGAUGUGAAAGCCCUCGGCUCAACUGAGGAAGUGCAUCCGAAACUGAGUGGCUGGAGUACGGAAGAGGGUCGCGGAAUUCCCGGUGUAGAGGUGAAAUUCGUAGAUAUCGGGAGGAACACCGGUGGCGAAGGCGGCGACCUGGGCCGAUACUGACACUGAGGUGCGAAAGCGUGGGGAGCAAACAGG